UCAAGCUACAAAGAGCGCAGGGCGAAUGCCUUGGCACUGGGAGCCGAAGAAAGACGCGAUAAGCUGCGAUAAGCCACGGGGAGCCGCAAAUAGGCGUUGAGCCGUGGAUUUCUGAAUGGAGAAAUCCGGCCGGAGUAAAGUCCGGUCAUCAUACGCUGAAUCCAUAGGCGUAUGAGGGGAACCGCCUGAACUGAAACAUCUAAGUAGGGCGAGGAAAAGAAAUCAACCGAGAUUCCGUAAGUAGUGGCGAGCGAACGCGGAAGAGGCCAAACCGAGGAUAGCAAUAUCUUCGGGGUUGCGGACUGCAUUUAGUAUUGCCGAAGUCUAGGAGAACCCCAUGGGAAGGGGGACCGAAGAGGGUGAGAGUCCCGUAUCCGAAAGGCGGAAGCAGCGAGCAGUAUCCAGAGUACCGCGGGACACGAGGAAUCCCGUGGGAAGCCGGGGGGACCACCCUCCAAGCCUAAACACUACCCAGUGACCGAUAGCGCAUAGUACUGUGAAGGAAAGGUGAAAAGGACCCCGGAAGGGGAGUGAAAUAGAACCUGAAACCCUGUGCUUACAAGCACCGAGAGCCCGUCAACGGGUAAUCGGGUACUUUUUGUAGAACGGUCCGGCGAGUAUAUUUAACUGGCAAGGUUAAGGGCCUCAGGUCUGAAGCCGAAGCGAGAGCGAGUCUGAAUAGGGCGUAUAGUCAGUUGGAUAUGACCCGAAACCGGGUGACCUAUCCAUGAUCAGGUUGAAGUGGGCGUAAAAGCCCAUGGAGGACCGAACCGACCUCCGUUGAAAUGGCGGCGGAUGAAUUGUGGAUAGCGGAGAAAUUCCAAUCGAACCCGGAUAUAGCUGGUUCUCCCCGAAAUAGCUUUAGGGCUAGCGUUGUAUUAGAUUACCGGAGGUAAAGCACUGAAUAGGCUAGGGGCCGAGAGGCUACCGACCCUUAUCAAACUCUGAAUGCCGGAUAAUUGAUGUACAGCAGUCAGACAGUGUGAGAUAAGUUUCAUUGUCAAAAGGGAAACAGCCCAGACCCACAGCUAAGGUCCCAAAUGUACGUUAAGUGGAGAAGGAUGUGGAAUUGCACAGACAACCAGGAUGUUGGCUUAGAAGCAGCCACACAUUCAAAGAGUGCGUAACAGCUCACUGGUCGAGUGAUUCCGCGCCGAAAAUUUAACGGGGCUAAACGUACAACCGAAGCUUGGGCUGCAUCGAAAGAUGCGGGGUAGGGGAGCGUCGUGUAACGGGGUGAAGCAUGAGCGUAAGCGCGUGUGGACUUUACACGAGUGAGAAUGCCGGAAUGAGUAGCGCGAUUUAUGUGAGAAUCAUAAAGGCCGAAAGCCUAAGGUUUCUGGAGGAAGGUUCGUCCGCUCCAGGUUAGCCGGGAGCUAAGGUGAGGCGGAAACGCGUAGCCGAUGCACAUACGGUGGAGAUUCCGUAGCUGUCGAAGGAUUUAAGCAGGGGGACACUGAAGAAGGCUUCAACCCAGGCGUUGGUAGACCUGGGCGAAAGGGACCGAAAAUAGAGUAGGGAAGUGAAGUUGGAAUCAGGCGAGAAAAGCCCUGUGUAUAUCUGAGACACCCGUACCGCAAACCGACACAGGUAGGUAGGAAGAGGAUUCUAAGGCCAACGGGAGAAGGGUUGUUAAGGAACUCGGCAAGUUGACCCCGUAACUUCGGAAAAAGGGGAGCCUCGAAAGAGGCCGCAGAGAAUAGGCCCAAGCAACUGUUUACCAAAAACACAGGUCUAUGCUAAAUCGAAAGAUGACGUAUAUGGGCUGACGCCUGCCCGGUGCUGGAAGGUUAAGAGGAGGGCUUAGCGCAAGCGAAGGUCUGAAUUGAAGCCCCAGUAAACGGCGGCCGUAACUAUAACGGUCCUAAGGUAGCGAAAUUCCUUGUCAGGUAAGUUCUGACCCGCACGAAUGGCGUAACGAUUUGGGCGCUGUCUCAACAGCCCACCCGGCGAAAUUGUUGUACUGGUGAAGAUGCCAGUUACCCGCAACUAGACGGAAAGACCCCAUGGAGCUUUACUGUAGCUUAAUACUGAAGAUCGGUAAUGCAUGUACAGGAUAGGUGGGAGACUUGGAAGCCAGGCCGUCAGCUUUGGUGGAGUCAACCUUGGGAUACCACUCUUGUAUUGCUGGUUUUCUAACCUGCGGCCCUGAAUCGGGUCGGGGGACACUGUUAGGUGGGCAGUUUGACUGGGGCGGUCGCCUCCAAAAGAGUAACGGAGGCGCUCAAAGGUUCGUUCAGCACGGACGGAAAUCGUGCAUUGAGUGUAAACGCAUAAACGAGCCUAACUGCGAGACCGACGGGUCGAGCAGUAAC
rnacentral:rRNA from 1 species